rnacentral:rRNA from 1 species
GGGCGUUAAGUUGCAGGGUAUAGACCCGAAACCCGGUGAUCUAGCCAUGGGCAGGUUGAAGGUUGGGUAACACUAACUGGAGGACCGAACCGACUAAUGUUGAAAAAUUAGCGGAUGACCUGUGGCUGGGGGUGAAAGGCCAAUCAAACCGGGAGAUAGCUGGUUCUCCCCGAAAGCUAUUUAGGUAGCGCCUCGUGAAYUCAUCUYCGGGGGUAGAGCACUGUUUCGGCUAGGGGGCCAUCCCGGCUUACCAACCCGAUGCAAACURCGAAUACCGGAGAAUGUUAUCACGGGAGACACACGGCGGGUGCUAACGUCCGUCGUGAAGAGGGAAACAACCCAGACCGCCAGCUAAGGUCCCAAAGUCAUGGUUAAGUGGGAAACGAUGUGGGAAGGCCCAGACAGCCAGGAUGUUGGCUUAGAAGCAGCCAUCAUUUAAAGAAAGCGUAAUAGCUCACUGGUCGAGUCGGCCUGCGCGGAAGAUGUAACGGGGCUAAACCAUGCACCGAAGCUGCGGCAGCGAACGUAUCACCCAAGACAACUUUACGGAGUUGACGAUUGACGGAGCGAAGCGACGUCAAAGCGUUCAUUAAAGUCGAGUUGGCUUAGGGAUACGUUCGUUGGGUAGGGGAGCGUUCUGUAAGCCGUUGAAGGUGGCCUGUGAGGGUUGCUGGAGGUAUCAGAAGUGCGAAUGCUGACAUAAGUAACGAUAAAGCGGGUGAAAAGCCCGCUCGCCGGAAGACCAAGGGUUCCUGUCCAACGUUAAUCGGGGCAGGGUGAGUCGACCCCUAAGGCGAGGCCGAAAGGCGUAGUCGAUGGGAAACGGGUUAAUAUUCCCGUACUUGGUGUUACUGCGAAGGGGGGACGGAGAAGGCUAUGUUGGCCGGGCGACGGUUGUCCCGGUUU